CUACGUGCCAGCAGCCGCGGUAAUACGUAGGGAGCGAGCGUUAUCCGGAUUUAUUGGGUGUAAAGGGUGCGUAGACGGAAAUACAAGUUAGUUGUGAAAUACCUCGGCUUAACUGGGGAACUGCAACUAAAACUAUAUUUCUUGAGUAUCGGAGGGGUUUGUGGAAUUCCUAGUGUAGCGGUGAAAUGCGUAGAUAUUAGGAAGAACACCGGUGGCGAAGGCGACAAACUGGACGAUAACUGACGUUGAGGCACGAAAGUGUGGGGAGCAAACAGGAUUAGAUACCCUGGUAGUCCACACCGUAAACGAUGGAUACUAGGUGUUGGCAAUGAAUAAUUGUCGGUGCCGGCGCUAACGCAAUAAGUAUCCCACCUGGGGAGUACGACCGCAAGGUUGAAACUCAAAGGAAUUGACGGGGGCCCGCACAAGCGGAGGAACAUGUGGUUUAAUUCGAUGAUACGCGAGGAACCUUACCCGGGCUUGAA
rnacentral:rRNA from 1 species